rnacentral:lncRNA from 1 species
GAAAGAAAAAAAGUCCACGAGAUGACAUGUGUUGUAGCUCUACUAUUGAAGAUGAACUUCAUGUCAUUCUAAAAUGCCCAUUAUAUGUAGUUUUAAGAGAAAUAUUAUACAUUUUAAUGAACAUUUUAACCUAUAAUUAUCAGAUAGCGAAAAUUUUAUAUUUUUAUUUUUAAUAACGGCAAUGUUGCUGCUAUAGUCGCCAAAAACACCAA